GUUUUUUUGGAAGCCGGGUUUAGGUUGUGGAAGCUCUGGAACUACAUUACCCACAAGUCAUAGCUGCGAUUUCAUUAUCAGGGCUUCACCAGGUGUGCACAGAUUCGCGAGGGAAAGGGCUUUCUGCACGCACAGCAGGGUGAGGACAGGAUCAGGACACCACCACCGCACCCCCGACACAAACCAGAACCACCGCCGCAGACAUGUCGGACUCUGAGACCGCUGCCCCCGUCGAGGCCCCCGUCCCCGCCGCCUGCGCCACCAUCAAGGCCGACCUGGACAAAUGUGUUGCAGAGAAAGGAGCCGAGGGCUGCAAAGAUCUGCUGGAGGCGUUCGCUGCCUGCGUAAAGAGCAGCGCUGAGGGGACGUCAUGAGGAGCUGACCCCCUACCUCAAUGUCCUCUGCACUGAGUCCUCCAGUUCCCAGCAUUCCCUUCUGCACAACAGCUCUGGACUGAACGAUAACGAUGAAGACUGUGAUGAAGAUGGCGAUGGCGUGACAAACCUCCAGAUGAUUCGGGCUGAAUUCGGGAUGUGGUGGCAGUAACCACAGUUUCCUCCUCCCUCCCCCCCCUCCCCCCUGUUGUAGGCUUAUCUGAUGUCCCUCAGUCUUACCCCCCCCCCCCCCCCUUCGUGUACCGUUGACAUGCAUCAACCUGUAGACAAGUCCAGAGAGCUGAGCUGUAAUAUACAUUGUCGACUCGUGAUGAAUAUAUAAAUGGAAAUAAAAGAA